GGCCCUGCAAAACGGACAAUCUGGGAUUAGGAUUGCACUAGGGAGUCAGCGACUACAUUGUCAACAACAUUACUUUCUUUCCUUAGGUUCCAAGGCAAGGGCAGUGUGUGUGUGUGUGUGUGUGUGUGUGUGUGUGUGUGUGUGUGUGUGUGCGCGCGCGCUCGCUUGCGCAUGCACGUGUACAAUGCAUGUGUGUAUGUGCAUAUAUGCAUGUGUGCAUGUAUGAAUAUGUGUAUGUGCAUAUAUGCAUGCAUAUACAUGUGUGCAUACAUGUAUGCAUGUGUGUGCAUACAUGCAUGUACAUACAUUUAUGUGUGGAUGUAUGUAUAUGUGCAUGUGCACGUGUGUGUUAACAGAGAAUGAGUCAACUAUUACAUGAUUAUCCAGGUCCCUCCCCUUGUCUUUCCCCUCCCUCUCUUCCAUCUUUCUUCUGUUAAACCUAGACAACUCAUUUCAAAGAGGUGACAGCUGUGAGCAAGGAGGAAGGCCUCCGAAAUCAGAAGCACACGCUGCUCUUGAUCCACCAGUCUUUCAAUCUGCUGCACACUGCUUUGCACAGGCUUGGAAUGAGGAUGGGGGUAAGAGUUUUACAUGUGUGAUCCAGACUGGCCAAAGACAAAGUUUGCAGCUGUCGAGGAUGGGCAAUGGGGACAGAAUCCCUGGAACUGCUUACUGAUACCCACCCAACUGAUCACUCCUGUGAGCUGGGUAAGCACCCGCACGUUGACACAUAUACAAAGCUGCCACACUGUCCCUCACCCUUCCCCAUGACAGGAGACUCUGACGUAAAGUCAUAGUUGACAGUAAGGUGUGCUCAUGGCUGUGUUAGCCUCCAGAUAUGGAAACAGGUAACAUGGGAAAAAAACAUUAGGUGAUGAGUGUGUACAAACAGACCUGAAUAGUCACUACGUCUGGAACUGCAAAACUCCAAAGUUUGCAAAACUGCCAAUCAUGUGAGAAUUACACUUAUGUGCGAGUUAUGCAAUUUCCAGGGAAAGAAGAGCAAACUGUGGUAGUUGGUUGGAAUAUCAACAUUCCCUAAGGAAUUAGUCUAUCAGCAACCUGGCAAAAAGAAUAUGGGUUUGUUUAUCAGAUUACUAUUUUUAAAAAAGAAAUUAAAGCAACCAUGGUGGACUGGAGGAAUGAGUUUGUUUAUAGCUAUUCUGAUGUAUAACAUCUGGAGUUCUCUGUUUCUACUAAUUCCAGCUGUACUUUUGGCAUCUCCAGCUUCUCCUCUAGUGAGGAUCUCCCAAGAUCCAGGCUCAGUCCUGGUGGUCUGUGCCAUCAAACCGUGCCAUCCUGAAGCUCAAGCAACCGGCUGCCUCACUGUCUUGGAGUAGACAUGGAGAGGAAUUGACUUCUCAGGAAUCCUUGGCCUCAGCAAUAUCAGUUUCUCAGUCUCGAGUUCUUGUUGUGGCUUUCCUAGUCAGCUUCUAGAUGCAGACAGACAUCCCAAGGCUCCGCCAACUGUGCAGAUAUCAGGGUAGCUGGAGAUGCCACCACCCCUAUCCCCUCUGAUGCUCAGCAAAUCUGGGUUUGAUUGUUUUCGACUUCCAUUCUGAAUCUUAGCUCUCAUCAGUGCUUUGAGACUUCCCAGAGUCCCUCAAUUUCUAUGAAUUUAUUUCAGUCAUCUCUUACUUUACACCUCUGUUUUUUUCUCUCUUGACAAUCUUCCCCCUACCCCCACCCCCAGCCUCCUGGUUUGUUAAAAUUUAAUCUCCAGGAGAGCAUUCAGACUGGUCCAGCUUCUUCAUCUCAGCAUGUGGUCAGCCAGUGAGUCAGCUGCCUUGAUGUCAUAUGUCCAGAUGAAUUCUGUCAUCUGUGAAGGAAGGCAGUGACAGGAUCUGAAACAGAGCUACAUCCUAUCAGCCUGGGUGUAGAGGGAUUAAACAAAAAAUUUCUUGUAUAAAAACUAAGGUGGCUUCGGUGAUCUCAGUUCCAAGUCCCCAGGCAUAUACACUGCACUGGGCACCUGACACCAAAGAAACAGUGCAGACCAUGCACAUGUGAAUCUGUGCACACAACCUAGGGCCGGGAAAAGCAGGAGGGAAGACGAAACCAGCAAAAUGUCUACCAUGCAGCAGGAUGGUAGAUGGCUUGCGGUACAAUUAUCAAUUUGAGCGCUAAUUUUCUAAUUCGAUGUUUUGUUACUACUCAUACAGAUUUUUCAAUUGGCUGGAAAAUAUGGUUUUCUAGUUAACACUGCUAUUCCUUCUUACAACUGAAACCCUUGGAGAACUAUAUUAACCAUUUUCCUAGUGACAGAAUGUGGUUUAUAACAUUAGAUUCAUCAUUUAUCAAAGGACUCUCUCUUUUCAAGAGAAUUAAUUCAAUUUCCUACUGUCCUCUCUUCCACACUCUGAGUGCAGAAUAUUAUUGAUCUUCAAUGUGCCAGGCAAUUUAUACGUGGUUAUCUCAUUUUCUCCUUACAACAGCAGUGAUGACUCCUUCCUUCAGAGAAGACGGGAUCUGAGGAAUGAGGUAACACUUCCCAGACCAUCUAUGCUAAGGAGUGAGCUGUAUUGUACACCCAUGUCUCUCGAGUCAGUUCUACCAUUUCUCUGAGAUAUUUAUUAGCAAUGGUUAAAAUCCAGGACAGAUAGAAAUCUAGUGCUGUCCUUCAGAGAACAACAGGUGCAGAACAAAAGUUGAAUACACAGGCAUACAUACAUGCAAGAAUGUGGGGCAGAGAGACAGUUAUUCGCUCAGUCUAGGCUGGCCAGUGCGCAGGGGUCAGUAAACUCACAGGUUCUGGGCUCAUAAUUUAGCUCAGCCCUUCCCCACAUGUAUCAAUUGGAUUGACUGAUGAUUUUUCUUAAUUUAUACAAUGAAAACAAUGACCAUGUCCUUCUCUUAGCACUGUCCUGUGGCUAUAUAAAUUAAGACACAGAUAAAGUUCACAGAGCUGUCUGGUAUACAGGAAGUUCUGAGAAAUGUAAUGAGUAUUAGAAAAAAGCAUGUGUAUAUGGUAUUUUGUUUAGAGUAAGUGUUAAGAUCACAGAUUCAGUACCAUUCUCAUUAGCUCUUUGCUUCUACGUGGGAUAAGCUUUCGAAUCAAAACAAGAUAAAAACUAAUUAAUUGUUAUUAUUUAUAUACCACGUCUGGAGUUCUUUUCAGUUCAAUAGAAUGUUUUUACAACUGUCCCUAGAUAAGCAGUGUGGACCCUAGCUCAGUCUGGCAUCAGGGUUUUGAGGAAUGUUGUCUGUGGAUAUCUCAGACAUUCUAAUCCAAGCUCUGCGAGACUCCAGGAAACAGAAUCUCAGUAAGAGACCCUAUAGGAUUCCAAAAUCCUAAAGGAAAAGCUACUGUCAAAAUACAAUGAGCUGUCUGAUACACUAAACAAUUUGUAGAAGAAUUCUUGCGAAGGCCCAUGAUUUCUCAGGACAUGCGUCCUUGCACAAACAAACGGCUGGUUAUCAAAGCAGGUUGUCAUAACUGACUGAGACGGGCAGCACAAAGAUCCAAAAGCAUCUCAGUAGACCACCAUGAAGCAAAGCCAAGGCAUCACAGACAACGUCUGCUGAGGUUAGCCAAGAAACAGACACAAAAACGUCUAUUUUUCCCGGUGGCUGCUGGGGGUUAUUUAUUGUUUUCCUUCUUUUCAAUGUCUCCUCUCUUUUGCUUCUUGGUAGAGACGUCUCUCAGGGGCUGCAGGAAGCAAGGCCCAGCCCUGGGAAAGCGGUGGGGGAAUGGCGCACACCACACACCACUGAGGGCUCUUGGAGCUGGAAGCUGGAGGCCAGGCUGAGGCCCAUGACGAGGACUGGAACUAAGGACUGAUUUGGAGCCAGUAACUCUUUCACUUCUUGUGAGGGGGCCUGCCAGGUGCAGGGAGGGGAGACGGUGGUCAGGUUCCAGGCCAAGUCACGGAUCCACUCAACUGAUAAUUACUACUAGAUAUUAUGCCUAGUGCAUGCCAAAGGUGAGCGAAAAACCACCACACACUGUCUCCCUUCAUGAAGCCGGUGGGCUGGCGGUAAAGACGGUGCCGACCAAAAUUUGUGUACUCCACAUGAUGAGACAUGCUCUAGAGGCGAUGCUGAGGAACAGUCAAUGAGAGGGCCAGAAAUGACAAGUGCUCUCUGAACUGAGGACUGAAAGGCCAAAGUGUGUGUGCGCUUCGUGUGCUGUGGGAGCCGCACAUGGAUGUUGACUGUAGGGUCAGUGCACACGGUAUGCGGUUCUAUGUGUGGCGUUUGGGAUGCCCACGUGUAUUGAGUAUGUGUGUGCUGUGUUGCUCCGUGUGUUGGGGGAGGAAUAAGAUAUUAGGACACCAGAGGAAGAAGCAGGUCCCAUCUGAGAACUCGCACGCGGCUUCCCAAGCUGGAGCUCAGCGUGAGUGUGAGUUGGGGAGGUGAAGGAAGACGAAGCCGGAAGCAGUGGGCAGAAGGCAGAUGUGGAUGGAGGACAUGGAGACUGCAGUUAGAGGACCCAGCCUUCACCGUCACUGAAGGUCUUUAAGCAAGAGACUAACACUGAUUCAUGUGACAGCCUGGUAGCCCUCACCUUCCAAUGCCACAUUUCUUUUGUCUGUAGGACUUGCUAGGAAGACCUAGCAGAACUCCGAUUGGAUCUCUGUGGCUCAGUCUAUAUGCCCAAGAAAAACUCCAGGAAGGUUUAGAUUAGGGAUGGUGGUUAGGAUAAAGUCUGAAUUUCAAGCAGAGCUGAAUUUUAUUAAAAUAAGCAACCACGGUGGUCAGGUUUCAAUAAGGAGAACCCGUGUCCCUCUCCAACAGGGUGAGUUAAGAUACUCACUGAGUGCACCUUGUCUUUGCAGAGCAACAGACUUGAGCUAUCAGAAUCGAAGGGUCAUUAAGUUAUAUGGCAGGGAAUAGAAAAAUUAUAGCUUUGGCAAAGAAAAGACUACAGAAUCAGGGUAGAGUAAGAAAGAGCAUGAUAGAAAAAGGCCUUUUCUUUACAUUGCCUUUUUUUUAAAAAAAAAAAAAACAAGUAAUUUUUAGAAUCUUUUUCCAGGAUGCUGCUAAUUGAGAAAGCCAACUGGAAUAUGGAAGCAAGAAGGAAAACAUCAUCUAGGGAGUAAAGAAUUGCCUCUGAAGACAGGCGCUUCUGUCCAAGGGAACUAGCAGACACUCUGUCACAGCCCUCUGUCUGUGUGUGCAUCUGCAGUUUGAGCAGUAGCAGAAAUGGUGACUUGACGAAGAAUUCUCAUUGUGUGUUUGUCUUGGCCAUAUGAUGGGUCACAGCUUCUGAGAAGGUCCUUUGUGGGAGACAGGCUCCUGGUGGGCUCUAACCCCCAAAGCUACUCUUCUGAGCUCCACCGCACCUAGCCUUGUCUGGUCACUGAACUCUCAGGGUAGGGGCAGGCAGUGCAUUAGACAACCAUCAGGGCAGAUGGUUUGUGCUCUCAGAGUGGCCUUUGGAGACAUUCCUGCAUCUAGAGCCCUGCUGCGGGCCAUGGCAAGUGGUUCCUGGGAAGCUGAAUGUCCUGGACCCAACCAAUGGGCAUGGGAGCCAGGGGAGUCUGUCAGAUUCCUGGCAUUCCACAAGCUUCCUGAAACCUGCAGUCAGGAAGUUCGCCCCCACCCAGAGUUACAUUCCUGAGUUCCCUACGUGGCCUGGAGAAGUAAUUUAAAUGAAGGAUUAGGAACCAGACCACUAGGUUUUCCAGUCCAGAUCUCCUCUUGUUGCCAGGGGCACUUAGGAAGUGUGAAGUCCCAUUGGCAAAUGCAGAUACAGUUGCUAAACUUCACAGCUUCCCAAUAAAAACUCCGGGUUAAUCCAUAGGAAAUGCUAGCGGAGUCCUCAGCACAAGGAGCUGAAGGUGCUGUUAACAGGGCCUGUCCUGUCCCAUUAGGCAAAACUGAAGCCCUGGAUGUCAGGCAUGCAAACCUGGAGUAAUUGCCUAAAAUACUAGUUCUUCUUACACUUAUACCUUUUAGACAUCCAUCCGUGUUUUCUUUACUAAUGACCAACACCUAGAAGGAGGUGUCUCUUGAUGAGUGCGGGGUGACAGUCUCCUCUCCCUUCUCCCAUUUUGAACUGUCUGCCAAAGUCUAGCUCAGCUGACCUGUGUCUGCUUGACUGUCUCCCAACCCAAUCCCCUAGGGUUCUUGAGACGACAGCUUGUGUUUCUGUGCACUUCUCACUUUGCGUGUCUGGAUGGCACUUGACUGAUGGUGGCCAGUGUUGACGAAGGCACCAUCAGUGUUUAUGCCAGAUUCCACCUUGGAUGUACUCUUUAAGCUCCUUGCAAGCGGAAACUCACUCAAACUUCCACGGACAGACAACAGCAAGGAACGCACGGCCCCAACGAAUCCUGAGUCUGUGUCUGCUGAAUAGGUGACUUUUGAAAGACAGAUUUCCCAAGGAGAGAGCCUUGUAAACUCUGGGGAAAGAGUGAGGUGAACGGAUGAACUUGAAGGCUAUGACUGCACUUGGCAGCCCUUGUAUUGUGUAUAGGAAGAUCUGUCCUCAUUAAACCAAAGAUACUAUUGCCAAAAGGUUAUUCUUUUUUUUUUUUUAAAGAGUCAGUGGAUUCCCCAAGUGAAACUGCCAACAAAGAUGGAGCUUCCCAGUUUACCAACAAUGUAGCCAUCUACAAAUGAAUACAAUGGCUUUUAAUAUGUGCAUGAGUUUCACUUUAAUAAAGGCUUCCUCUAUGUCCAGUGUUUUACAUA